rnacentral:rRNA from 1 species
AUGGCUGCUCCCUACCGCGAAGACAUGGCGCUGCCGCCGUCCCCCACCGCGAUGACCGACGACGGGGCCUCCCCCUACGGCGGAGCCGAGCCAUUCCCCACCGCGACAACAGACGAUGGGGCUGCCCCCACCGCGACGCCCGAUGGCGCUGCCAUCCCCCACCGCGACGACCUACGACGCUGCCGUCCACCAUGGCGCUGCCGCCGGGUGGAUGCUACGAAGGUAUCAGGCCAUAGCCAGCGGGGCUACCAACGGCGCCAAUGUAGGCGUCCACCUCGCCGAAGCUCCCCUGGCUAA